AUGAGUUUUCGAAAGUGCAAGGAACCGUGUACCAGGUUCAUCACGAAGGGAGACACUCACGAAAGGUGCGUAGUGUGUUUGGGUUUACAUCACGCUCAGACUGCGCUUAGCGGCCUUUCUUCUUGCCCCCAUUGUGAUAGCCUGCGGCUUAAAGUACUGCGCUCGAGGGUAGAAUUGUUUUCUAAGGUCGCCCCCGCGUCCAACCCCCACCGUGUCACUUCUGCGGCAGCCGAGGCACCGCACGAGGCGAUGGCUUGGGGAGACAUGUGCGACCUAAAUUACGACGACAGCGCUGCGCUGGAGUUUUCUCCACGUCGCUCGCUCUCCCCUACCCGAGUGCAGGAAACCAGCUUCGUCGAACCCGUCGUUUUCUCGGACGGGGGUUUACAGCCCACCCCGGAGGCAUACGAUGCUAUCUCCUUCGGUUGUGGGCAGUAUGACGACGACGUCUUAUCCACCGCGGCCUCGGAGUCUGAGGACUUCAUGGCUGAUACUGACAGCCCUCUCCCUCCUAGCGGACAGGAGAAGCGUGUUUCCCCCUCCUACAGCGAGCUGUUGGAUGUGGUUUCUUGUGCGGUGGGUAAGCUGGGACUGGAUUGGGAGGUUGAGAAGGCCGAGGCCCAACCUUCAUCGAAGCUGGACGACCGUUUCUUAACCAGUCGUACUCCUGCGCAGCCCCGUAGGCCCCUGCCUUUUUUCCCGGACCUCCACCAAGAGGUUUCGAGGUCCUGGAAACAGCCUUACUCGGCGCGCAUUACGAACGCUGCGGCUGCGGAUUUCGCCACCAUUUCCGAUAUGGCGAACCGUGGCUAUGCAGCGAUGCCUCCGGUGGAAGAGACUCUCGCCGAACAUCUCGCGCCUAAUUCGGCCACGGCAUGGAAGUCUCGCCCCCUCCUUCCUUCAAAGGCGUGUCGAGUCACGUCUAGCCUCGUCGGGAAAUCCUACAUGGCUGCUGGCCAGGCGGCCGCAUCGCUCCACUCUAUGGUGGUCCUCCAGGCCUACCAAGCGGAGCUCUUAAAGGACCUCAACGAGGGGGAGGGCAUCACACCCGAGGCUGUGAAAGAGCUGCGACGAGCAACAGAUUUGGUGCUACGCGCUACCAAACAUACUGCUCGGGCAGUGGGCCGUUCUAUGGCUGGGUUGAUUACGGUUGAGCGCCACCUCUGGCUUAAUCUCACCGAUAUCAAAGAAAAGGACAAAUCCUUUCUCAUGGACGCCCCUGUUUCUAAGGACGGUUUGUUUGGUGAGGUGGUCACGUCGGUGGUGGAUAAAUUUAGGGCAGCGAAACAGCAAUCAGCCGCUUUCCGCCAGCUGAUUCCACGCAGGCCCAGGGAGAUUGAACGGCGGCAGGCGCCCGCGCGGUCUCGUUCAACAUCUUCAAACCGCCAACGGGAGCCUCACCAGAAGAGCCUUCGCCUAUGGCGCCCCCUCGUAAAGACUGCGGAAAAGAUUGGACCUGAGCUCGACGGCUAAUGCCUCUCGUUCUCGGGCUCCUAAUAGCAGCUCCUGAUAUUCUCACUGCUUGCCAGGGACUGUGCCCUCCACUAGAGAGUGCUGUUGGACCGCUUUUGCGCAUCCAACCCUCUCACUGCAGUCCCCACGCUCAAACAUUGACUGUCUCGCCGCAAAAGGCGCUUCGAGCAGCAUUGGAUUGAGCAACCAUGUCAGGCGUUCCCUCAGACACUCUGCGCGAUUCAGCCUUCAGAAUCCGAGGAACGAUCCAAGGGUCUGGCAAAGACGGCCCGUUUAUGACGGCUCACACAGCCGCCGCUUUUUCGCUAGCGGCAGAGCCCGAUGUUCAUCUUGUUGGAUUAAUUCCUGCCGUGGACACGCUUCAGGAUUAUACACAAUGAGACGCAACGAAUUUGACGCAUGCGCUUCCCCGGCUUACGGACGGCGCAAGCUUUCCGUAUUCGGGCAUGUUAACGCGUAUGAAAACGUUGCAUAAGGCGGAAAUCUUGAAACCACUGACGUUAGUUCGGGCCGCGUUGGAACGCUUGCCCGGCAUUUCACAAUAGGUGUUACGCACGAUUCGUCACGGAUACACCAUUCAGUUUCGAAAAGGCCCGCCUCCUUUCCGCGGAAUUCUUCCCACGGUUGUGAAACCAGAGGAAGUCGCGGUGCUGUGGCAAGAGAUGACAGCUCUGCUGAGGAAAGGGGCUAUAGAAGAAGUACACCCCUCUCAGAUGGAGUCAGGUUUUUACAGCCGCUAUUUUGUUGUACCCAAAAAAGGGGGGCGGUUUGCGACCCAUAUUGGAUCUACGCCGUUUGAAUCUUGCACUCAGGACGAGCAAAUUCAAGAUGUUAACGGUAAAGUCCAUUUUGUCUCAGAUUCAACCAAACAGUUGGUUUGUCACGAUCGAUCUGAAGGAUGCAUAUUUUCAUAUUCAGAUCAUCAAGAGACACAGGAAGUUCCUCAGAUUCGCUUUAGAGGGCAAAGCAUAUCAAUACCGUGUUCUUCCUUUCGGCUUAGCCCUGGCUCCCCGAACUUUUUCGAAAUGCAUGGAUGCAGCUCUGGCCCCGUUGCGGCUCCAGGGCGUUCGUGUGUUGAAUUACUUAGACGAUUGGCUGGUGUUAGCUCAAUCACAGACUCAAACACUCUCUCACCGGGAUCUUGUGCUGAAUCAUCUAAGCAGCCUGGGCUUAUGCACGAAUUUCCAGAAGAGUGUUUUAAUUCCCUCUCAACGGAUAACCUUUCUGGGAAUAGACUUGGACUCUCGCGCGAUGACAGCCAGACUAUCUCUCCCGCGCGUUCAGUCUCUCACGUCAUGCGUGCGUCACUUCAAAGUAGGUCGCACAGUGACGGUGAGUUUGUGUCUCAGGCUGUUAGGUCUGAUGGCAGCGGCAUCCCCUGUAAUUCGUCUGGGCUUACUUCACAUGCGCCCUUUUCAGUGGUGGACGAAAAGUCAGAACAUUUCACCCCGUUGUUUUCCGCAUCGUACGAUUUCGGUGACACGGAGGUGUGUUAUGUCAAUAAAACAGUGGAUGUCAACCGAGUUCCUUCUAGC
ensembl:lncRNA